ACGAACGCUGGCGGCGUGCUUAACACAUGCAAGUCGAACGGAAAGGCCUGCUUUCCCUUGUGGAUUGCGGGUACUCGAGUGGCGAACGGGGGAGUAACACGUGAGUGAUCUGCCCCCAACUUGGGUAUAAGCCUGGGAAACUGGGUCUAAUUCCCGAUAGGACUGCAGGGUGGUGCCUGUGGUGGAAAACGAUUUUCUAGUGGUUGGGGAUGAGCUCGCGGCCUAUCAGCUUGUUGGUGGGGUAAUGGCCUACCAAGGCGGCGACGGGUAGCCGGCCUGAGAGGGUGGACGGCGACAUUGGGACUGAGAUACGGCCCAGACUCCUACGGGAGGCAGCAGUGGGGAAUAUUGCACAAUGGGCGGAAGCCUGAUGCAGCGACGCCGCGUGGGGGAUGACGGCCUUCGGGUUGUAAACUCCUUUCGACCGCGAGGAAGCCACCUGGUUGGAAGGGUGGUGACGGUAGUGGUAGAAGAAGCACCGGCUAACUACGUG
rnacentral:rRNA from 1 species